rnacentral:rRNA from 1 species
AUUGAACGCUGGCGGCAUGCUUUACACAUGCAAGUCGAACGGUAACAGGCCGCAAGGUGCUGACGAGUGGCGAACGGGUGAGUAAUGCAUCGGAACGUGCCCAGUCGUGGGGGAUAACUACUCGAAAGAGUAGCUAAUACCGCAUACGAUCUAUGGAUGAAAGCGGGGGACCGUAAGGCCUCGCGCGAUUGGAGCGGCCGAUGUCAGAUUAGGUAGUUGGUGGGGUAAAGGCUCACCAAGGCAACGAUCUGUAGCUGGUCUGAGAGGACGACCAGCCACACUGGGACUGAGACACGGCCCAGACUCCUACGGGAGGCAGCAGUGGGGAAUUUUGGACAAUGGGCGCAAGCCUGAUCCAGCAAUGCCGCGUGCAGGAAGAAGGCCUUCGGGUUGUAAACUGCUUUUGUUCGGAACGAAACGGCUCUGGUUAAUACCCGGGGCUAAUGACGGUACCGAAAGAAUAAGCACCGGCUAACUACGUG